rnacentral:tRNA from 3 species
GCUUCCAUAGCUCAGCAGGUAGAGCACUUCCAUGGUAAGGAAGGGGUCGUCCGUUCAAAUCGGAUUGGAAGCU